UGGGUGCGUCCGGCCCCUUCCUCGGCCGCGGCUGCCCCAGCCCCGGACAGCGGGCGGGGGCCGCGGCCGGGGAGAGGCGCGGAGCGGGCGCCCGGCUUCGGGCGGCUCCUUGUCACGCCGCGUGGGCGCCCGAAGCACUGUGGAGAGCCCCCCGCGGAAAGCAGCGCGCUCGCCCCUCAGCCGUGCCGCGUUGGCCGGUCCGGGUCACAGCAGGGCAGGGCUGGGGCUGCUCCCUCUGGGGAGCGAGGAGACGGCGGGCUGGAUGCUGGAUGGUCCGAGGUGCUGGAUGCCUGGUUCGACCGUGGGAAGCUACUUGGACCACGCUGCUUUUGGUGCUCGAACCCCACGGUGCUCCAGCUUCUCGUAACGAAGCAAGUCUCACCCGAAGCAAAUUACACACAUUCCAGCAGCAAUUAACUUUUCCUGAAAGCUGUAGUACACCCUGAGAGUGACAAGCUGUUCCCAAGUUAAAAUAGAACCCGAUCUCGAAAGUUUUGUCCUUCUGGAGGAAUUAAUCAUUUUUUCCUGGACCAAACCACUGUGCUUCUGACAUGUACUGUCUCACUGAGCUGUUUACCUGCUAAAGUGAAAUCCUGGAUAAACACAUGGAAUCUUCCAGUUCUGCCUGAACAAGACUUGUGCUGAUUGAGAGGUUUUGUCUGGAUAAACACAGCUGGAUGGCAGCCAAAGAGGUAGGGCCAGUUUGUAUCACCUUCCCUAAAGACUACUGGAAAUUUCUUCUGCCCUGUCCUUAAUUUCCAGUUUUUCACAAAUGAACCAAAAGUCCUGAAGCAAAAUACAUUCCGUGUCUUGUCCCUCUGUCAUUGAAGUUCAAUUCCCACAAAAAUUACCUGCUACUGUAUGAUCAACAUUUACAGGGUGAAAAAACCCAGAACAUAUAUUACUUUUAUCCUCCAAUCUUUGUCCAAUGGUGUUGUCCUUCAGCAGCUCCUUGUAUUGGGAAAGACUUUUUUUUCCUUCAUCCUAUCUGCAAGAAUCCAACAGCCCAUCCCCUGUUGCUGCCCCACCUCUCUGAGGUACAACCUCACACUUGGGUUUUACUCUUCCUCAGCCCACCAGCCAGCUCCCUCCAAACAUCUUGCUCAGUGGUGUUGACUCCACUGGAAGUAAAAGAACUCUUACAAAAGUGGCAUCUGACUGGUUUACUUAAAGUUCUGGUGUCCAGACACCUGAUAGUACAGAGCAUUCUACAAGAGCAGUUCAAGGGGUGCCCUGGAGCACACCAAAUAUCACCAGACUCCGGUUUCACAUAUUGGAUGCAAAGUUGGUUUUUUUUUUCCCUCUGGUGUUUACUGAAUAAUUCUGUCAGAUGCAAAAAUGAAAACACAUUGUAGAGUACAACCUGCUCUUUAAAAGAAGCAUGUUUGAAAUGCCUGUAGCCAGCCUCAUUUCUGUAGGUUUGGAUGCAAAAUGUUGCUAUGGGAACAAAACCAUCUCUCCACCCAAUCAGCUGAAGCAAGAGGUGUUUUUUUUUUAAAUAACGAGAUUGUCUUUAUCUGCCCUUCACCUAACCAGUCAACAGAAGAAUGAGAACAACGAUUUUCACAGCCAAACCAUAGAAAAUGUGACUCACUGCAAAAAAAACCGUAUGAGCUUCUUAGGUCUGGGAUAUUGACAUCUUAUUGUAGAACACGAACAGACAAUAAGACAAACUGACAAAUCAAUCUAAUUUGACAGUGCAAUCAAGGAAAGAAAUGGGUGUGAAACUGUUCAAAUCUAACUAAACCUUGCUUUGGGAGGGAAAGCUUGAAGAGGUCUUCAAAGGAAUUGAAAGAAGAAUAGUGCUAAUAGAGGAAAAGACUUUACAUGGUUGCAUGAUUGCCUCCUUUACCCUGCACACAUGUUGAGGCUGGGUUUAUGUUGUGAUUUUCUCUUCCAUGAGCUGGUCCUGCCCAUCCCACCAGAGGAGUGUCCAGGCUGUUCUCACACAAGCUACACCCUGGUAGCCUGCAAAAGCCACAGUCAGCAUCAACUUCCCUCAGUGACCAAUGGGACAAGGCUUGGGUGUGCUCUGUCAAAUCCUUCACAGUGGAUUAGUGUGCAUUAAUCUCUUCAUUAAUGUUUUAAUUCAGUCAAGAUACAUCACUGCCCUCGCAGGCUGGGUUUGGAGCAUCCAGUCAGUGCUUCACCAUGAUGGACACAUUCACUGGUUUUGAUGUUUGCUUUUUGAAAACCAGUUUGUGCUUUUCUUCAGCUGCCAGAUGCAAGCCUGCAGCCAUAGCACGGGUGAGCAGGUGGCAGGGCUACUGCCAGCCCCCUGUAGCUCUAAGGUGGCUGUUAUGGAGAUGUAAAGAACCACAGAGAACUGCAGAAGAGCAGAGCAGACAGCCUUGGGGCUGAGCAGGGGCCAGUGCUGCUGUCUCCUGAGCAGCCCCUUCCCGGGGCAGGCACACCCCUGCCUGCAGCCAGCGCUGGGUCCCCAGCCCAGAGCACCCACACAUGCACCUGCCUAUGACUGACUGCAAGUUUUGCAACCCACUUUGAUGAGUGCAAACAAAAAUAUCCAUGAUCAAUUUAAUUCUUCAUUCAUCUCUCAUAAUUGGUUACAGCAAGUGAUAGUUGGGUGUUGAAUUAAUUUUUGCCCUUUCAUGUUCUGUCCUUUAAAAUGUGUCAAAAGACAUGUUGCUAUUUGCUGCAGUUUGAAGUGAUCCUGGAAAUAUCAGCUGCUGUUGCUGAUUUUCAAAUUCUAAACUUCAAUGGCUAAUUCAAGCUUUAAAAACUCAAAGACUAACAGAUGUGUUAGGAAUUUUUUGAAGGAAAAAUCAAUCAGAAAAAAAUCAAUCAGAAAUUAUUUGAAGUCUAUCAUUUGAAGUCUAUUGGAAAGAAUUUCAAUUUGAUAAAACACAAAUUAACUUUUGCUGUCAGUAUUUACAGCAAUAAUACUCCAGGACAGAGAGACCCAAACUGAAAAAUCUUAUUUAUAAAAAUGAAACCAGAUUCCACUGGAGGGGAAUGCAAACUAAAUAGCAGGAGUUAAAGGAAAGCAAGGUAGAUUUUGGUGGUAGAUAGCUACCAUGACUUCCAGGUGCUGGGAAGAGCACUUGGUACCACCAGCAUCUUGCCCUAUCCAUGAAAAAGAAGAAAGGCAGUGCAAAUCCCUUUUUGGCCUCUGUUUCUAUUUCCAGAUUAGCUCUUCUGCUUUAGAUUCACAUUAUUAAUGGGCUCUCUGGGGCACACACAUCCAGAAAUUAAGCUUUGCUAUACCCAGAAAGCCAAGAGUACGACCAAGAGUUGGCACCUGAUUUACACUCACAGUGACAAGGCUCAGUUUGAGAUUCAGAGGUGAUAUCCCCUGUCAGAGGCAGAGAGGUCUCUGUCUCAGGGUGGCUUUGUGCUGAGUGGACCAAGCCACUUCUAGGCUUGGUCUAGAGAGAUGUGAAAGUCAGACUGAAGAUGUUCAAGGUCAAGUUAAUAUAUGCCAAAUAACAAAAAUGUCCUUUUUGUGCCAACAGUGAUCUUGCUGCUGUGUUGCAGGCUAGUGAGGUGUAUCUGAGACUCAUGAAUUUAUCUUUUUUCUUUGGAAAUAAAGCAGAUCUGUUCAUUCCCCAAUAUGCAAGGUGAAUAAUGUCAGCUCAAUGCAGCCAAUUUGAAGCAGCUGGUGUUUUUUUAACACAGCUGCUUCAAAUGAAAACAUGCUAUGGUUUUCUUGAUUUCUCUGGCCACUGCCAGACACAAGGAAAGUGCCACACACAUGUUGCUGAAUUUGAUUUUGCCUCACUGGAUUUUUAUGGAUGGUUACCCUCAAAAAACAAACUAUUAAUAGGCCUGUGUCUAAAUGCUUGACUAUGUGAGACUUCAUCUGUUACAUUCAGGCUGUGUUUUGACAGAUUGUUAUUCCAUUAACUAAAAAUCCUUUGGGCUCUGAAGGAUAUAUAACAGUCCUACAACCACUUGCCUUAAAGGUAAUAUUUAAAUAUCACAGGGGAAAAUUGUGUAGUACAUUAGAAGAAUGGGAAAGGAAUUACAUCAUAGACAAAGAUAAUGAAAUAGAUAUGAAUUCUAGCAGUAUAAAUCAAGGAAAAACAGAAGUCUUUUGAGCAGUGAUUUGUUUAAGUGAUGCUAACAAUACUACAGAGCAUUAAAAUAGAUUUUGUAACCCUGUUGUUGUUUCAGAGAUUAAAUUACACUAAAACAAUAAUGUAGUUUUGGGGUAAUUUACAUAAAGAAAAGCUAGGCUCCUAAAAUUUCAGUUUCCUGCAUAUCCUUCUUAAUGGGAACAAAUUCCAAAGCAAUCUUGAUUUUAGAAGCAAUUUAUGAGCUGUCCAAUGGUCGUUGCUCCUGCUCUAAAUUCCCAUGCAAAAAUUAGCCACUAACUUUUAUUUUCACUCAUGCACACAAACAAAAAUUCUUGCUUAAUCUCUUCUGCCUUUUCUGGUUUAUAGUGCAGGAUAAACAAAUGAAGAGAUUCAUGAUUUUAAUUAACAAGUGAGAAAUUUUGAUUUGAAUGAGUUUUUAACACAUCUAUAUAAUUGGUUUUAAUAAAGUUUAGCAUUCUUUGUUGGAAACUUCAUAAUGCAAAUUUUCACCUAAAUAUUAUCUUGAUGCUAAAUGUGGUAUUUCUUUUCCUACCUAUGUACCCAUGCCCAUUUGUGUAUACAGAUCUUGAUUGGAGUACAUGUAUUUGUCUUCUAAUUUUUUUUUACUCUGAUAAUAUUUAAAAUCAAUGAAAUCAUUAGUCAGAACCUGUAAGCAGAGAGAAGAUGUAUAAAUCUAAGUCUUAAAGUGCUUUUUCAAAAAUCCAAACCCUCUCAUAGAUGAUUACUACAUAUGUAUAUUUUGAAAACAAUGCUUUUUUUCCUCAAGAUCCUGGUUCAAUUCUGCCCUUUAUGUUUGCUGCCUGUGAACAAAGCUAAGACCACCUGCAAAAUUCAUCAGCAUGGGAAGUGACAUUGCAUGGGU